rnacentral:rRNA from 1 species
UUCGCAAUGCCCGAAAGGGUGACGAAGCGACGCCGCGUGCGGGAGGAAGGCCUUCGGGUUGUAAACCGCUGUCGGGAGUUAAGAUAUGCAAGGAUGUUAAUAGCGUUCUUGCUUGACUAAGGCUCCGGAGGAAGCCACGGCUAACUCUGUGCCAGCAGCCGCGGUAAUACAGAGGCGGCAAGCGUUGUUCGGAAUUAUUGGGCGUAAAGAGCACGUAGGCGGCUGUGUAAGUCGGUUGUGAAAGCCUUCCGCUCAACGGAAGAACGGCAUCCGAUACUGCAUGGCUUGAGUGUGGGAGGGGAGAGUGGAACUUCUGGUGGAGCGGUGAAGUGCGUGGAUAUCAGAAGGAACACCGGCGGCGAAGGCGACUCUCUGGUCCAUAACUGACGCUGAGUGUGCGAAAGCUAGGGGAGCAAACGGGAUUAGAUACCCCGGUAGUCCUAGCCGUAAACGAUGGGCACUAAGUAGAGGGGUUUU